rnacentral:piRNA from 1 species
AGUUAUUACGGACCCAGUUGAUGAAC